GUGCCAGCCGCCGCGGUAAUACGUAGGGUGCGAGCGUUGUCCGGAAUUACUGGGCGUAAAGAGCUCGUAGGUGGUUUGUCGCGUUGUUCGUGAAAUCUCACGGCUUAACUGUGAGCGUGCGGGCGAUACGGGCAGACUAGAGUACUGCAGGGGAGACUGGAAUUCCUGGUGUAGCGGUGGAAUGCGCAGAUAUCAGGAGGAACACCGGUGGCGAAGGCGGGUCUCUGGGCAGUAACUGACGCUGAGGAGCGAAAGCGUGGGGAGCGAACAGGAUUAGAUACCCUGGUAGUCCACGCCGUAAACGGUGGGUACUAGGUGUGGGUUUCCUUCCUUGGGAUCCGUGCCGAAGCUAACGCAUUAAGUACCCCGCCUGGGGAGUACGGCCGCAAGGCUAAAACUCAAAGGAAUUGACGGGGGCCCGCACAAGCGGCGGAGCAUGUGGAUUAAUUCGAUGCAACGCGGAGAACCUUACCUGGGUUUGACAUGCACAGGACGCGUCUAGAGAUAGGCGUUCCCNUGUGGCCUGU
rnacentral:rRNA from 1 species